AUUUAGCUGAAGAGUUUCAAAUAGAAUGAAACGCACAUCCUGGAU
rnacentral:hammerhead_ribozyme from 1 species